UGGGGAAUAUUGGACAAUGGGCGCAAGCCUGAUCCAGCAAUGCCGCGUGAGUGAAGAAGGCCUUAGGGUUGUAAAGCUCUUUCGGCGGGGACGAUGAUGACGGUACCCGCAGAAGAAGCCCCGGCUAACUCCGUGCCAGCAGCCGCGGUAAUACGGAGGGGGCUAGCGUUGUUCGGAAUUACUGGGCGUAAAGGGCGCGUAGGCGGUUCAUCAAGUCGGGCGUGAAAGGCCUGGGCUCAACCCGGGAAUGGCGCUCGAGACUGGUGGGCUUGGAGUCCGGGAGAGGAUGGUGGAAUUCCCAGUGUAGAGGUGAAAUUCGUAGAUAUUGGGAAGAACACCGGUGGCGAAGGCGGCCAUCUGGACCGGUACUGACGCUGAGGCGCGAAAGCGUGGGGAGCAAACAGGAUUAGAUACCCCCGUAGUCC
rnacentral:rRNA from 1 species